AAGGAUUUAAGUUAAAUAGAAACUGUUAGCCUUCAAAGCUAAAAAUAGGGUGUUCCUAAGCCUUA
rnacentral:tRNA from 1 species